rnacentral:rRNA from 1 species
GUGGGGAAUAUUGGACAAUGGGCGAAAGCCUGAUCCAGCCAUGCCGCGUGUGUGAAGAAGGUCUUCGGAUUGUAAAGCACUUUAAGUUGGGAGGAAGGGUAGUAACCUAAUACGUUGCUACUUUGACGUUACCGACAGAAUAAGCACCGGCUAACUUCGUGCCAGCAGCCGCGGUAAUACGAAGGGUGCAAGCGUUAAUCGGAAUUACUGGGCGUAAAGCGCGCGUAGGUGGUUCAGUAAGUUGGAAGUGAAAUCCCCGGGCUCAACCUGGGAACUGCUUUCAAAACUGCUGAGCUAGAGUACGGUAGAUGGUGGUGGAAUUUCCUGUGUAGCGGUGAAAUGCGUAGAUAUAGGAAGGAACACCAGUGGCGAAGGCGACCACCUGGACUGAUACUGACACUGAGGUGCGAAAGCGUGGGGAGCAAACAGGAUUAGAAACCCCAGUAGUCC